UCUAAUCUUUUCUCUAUCUUGAAGUCUCUCCUGCACAGUUUCCUAAAUAAAGUUAUGCAAAAGUUUUAGUGAAUAAAGCAUUUAUCGUUAGUGGAUUUCUCAAUAUAUAGCUUACUUGAUUCUGAAUAUUGUUACACUUUAUUAUUCCUCAAUAUUUCUUAUGAGCUCAUUGUAUAUAUAAAAAUAUUAAAAUAUUAUGUAUAGAUGGAUACAGAAACAUAUAAACAAUAUAUAAAGGGAUCAAGAUGCAAUUUCUUAUCAUGAUUAAUAAUAUGAGCAAAAUUGAUAAUCACUAUACAGUAGUUAAUAAAAUGGAUCCUACCAGUGAGAGAUUUGCCCCAGCAACCCAUGCCCUAUUUACUUCUAGGGAUUCCCAGCCCUCAAUCAAAUUCCUGGCUCCGCUAAUGGAUACCAGCCAUCUACAAGAUUGGUUUUUGGUGGUUCAAAAUAUUUCAAGAAGUUCAUAUACUUCUUCAUUCACUCAACAUUCAUCAAAGCACUUGAGAAAUCAACCGCUUGGAGGAAAAAAAAAAAGAAACAUGCACAUUCAAUAUUUUUUCUCAAAUUUUUUCAGAAAAGGCAAGGGUCCUCAGUAGUUAAACUGAGCAUGUUGCAGUAAAUAUGUUAGAAUAGCAGCACUUAAAUCUUUCCUUCUUUCUAUUUAUAAAUGCAAAUGGAGAAAUCAAGAGAGACAAAUGCAACAAUCAUUUUAAUAAUUAAGCUGAAAGCAGUUAAUCAUAACCAUCCAUGCCAGACUUCGUAUUAUCACACUCUUUCUUUCACCUUCUAAAUUGAUUUCAGAUGGACUCAAGCUGAGAAGUUACCUGAACCUGCUAAUAGAACUUGAAAUGACAAAUUGUACGAUGGUAUAGGAAAAAGACUAGUUAGUAGAUUUGCCGCUUGCUUACUUCCAAGUUCCCAAAUUUAGCACUCAUUCAAUAACACCUCUUUACAAAUAUCAGGAGAUCAGCACAAAGAACUCCAUCUGACUAAUAAAUGUUGUAUCUAAAUCAAUUACUUGAACUUCAAUAAAUGUCCAAGGCAUACGAAAACUAGUCUUGUCUGGAUGGAACACAAAAAAAAACCUUUAUAGUGAUUUAAAUUUUCCAGGCCCUUGACAAGUAGACUUUCGCACAAUAACAUUCAACAAUCACCAAGAAUAAAUGAUUUCUAGUAACCAAAAACCCUGUAUUUUAAUUUUAAUAAUGAACUUUUAAAGAUUUACUCUCAAAACUUAAACCUAGUUUUCAUUUGACAGCUUAUCCUUGACUAUAAAAACACCCGACAGAAAACAAAUAUACUACUACAAUCAGGGGAAAUUAAUAACCUUGGUCCAAAAACUAAUUAACCCAGAAAAAAAAAGUUCCAUACUGAUUAUCAGCUUCUGGUUCCGGCAUUUUUUCCGGCAACCAAACAAAACCCAUAAGAAAUAUAACCCAGUCAGUAGAAAAUUAAAUCAAACCCACUUAAUCUUUUCGAUAAAACAAACAUAAUCACAAAAAAAGAACAGAGACAAAACCGCACCUCAUACUGAGUUCACAACCCGUGUAACCAGAAAGAUAGAAGCUCAGAUCCUGACUAUGAACACCACAUAUCCUUUUUACAUUGUAUAACCCAGAAAAUAUAGAGGUGAAGAGAUCGAAUAUGGAUGAGACGGGGGAAAAAGGAAGCUCUUCAAGUUCUUCUUCUCUGACGAAUUUAUGAGAGAAGAAUAGGAGAAUCGAUAAUAUAGAUAGGUAAGCUGAGAAAACUGAGAUUUUUACUCGAGAUUUUUGGAGUGAUAGCUGGUAAGUAUCAGGGGUUUUACUUGUGUGCGGAAAUUAUUUUGGGCUGUAAAAUGUAGCAUUCAUUGCCAAGNNN
rnacentral:lncRNA from 1 species